UGGUCGGGAUAGCUCAGCUGGUAGAGCAGAGGACUGAAAAUCCUCGUGU
rnacentral:tRNA from 8 species